rnacentral:misc_RNA from 1 species
UAUCAAUUUACCUCUUGAUUAAGCCACCCUUCGUCCGUGCAGCCUUAACCUUCCAGCAAUUACGAGUCGUGUUUCGUUCGAAUCUCGACAGCGUAAAUCUCGGAAAUUACAAUGAAGACUGGACGAGUAACGCCUUCGAGACGAAUUUAUUGGAGGAUAGCCUUCUCGCGAGCCGCAAUUUCGCGAAUUACGGACCUUCACGGGUCACGUCCGCCAGAUAAGAUCAAAUUCUUUUUCCUUAGAGAAAGGAGACUCGAGAGCUAUAGAGAGCUAUAGAGAGCUAUAGAG